rnacentral:rRNA from 1 species
UACGUAGGGUGCAAGCGUUGUCCGGAAUUAUUGGGCGUAAAGAGCUCUUAGGCGGUUUGUCGCGUCUGCUGUGAAAACUCGGGGCUUAACCCCGGGCCUGCAGUGGGUACGGGCAGACUAGAGUGCGGUAGGGGAGACUGGAAUUCCUGGUGUAGCGGUGAAAUGCGCAGAUAUCGGGAGGAACACCGGUGGCGAAGGCGGUUCUCUGGGCCUUACCUGACGCUGAGGAGCGAAAGCGUGGGGAGCGAACAGG